UGCCCAGACUCCUACGGGAGGCAGCAGUGGGGAAUAUUGCACAAUGGGCGAAAGCCUGAUGCAGCAACGCCGCGUGAAGGAAGACGGUUUUCGGAUUGUAAACUUCUGUUCUUAGUGAAGAAUAAUGACGGUAACUAAGGAGCAAGCCACGGCUAACUACGUGCCAGCAGCCGCGGUAAUACGUAGGGGGCAAGCGUUAUCCGGAUUUACUGGGUGUAAAGGGAGCGUAGACGGCAGCGCAAGUCUGAAGUGAAAUCCCAUGGCUUAACCAUGGAACUGCUUUGGAAACUGUGCAGCUGGAGUGCAGGAGAGGUAAGCGGAAUUCCUAGUGUAGCGGUGAAAUGCGUAGAUAUUAGGAGGAACACCAGUGGCGAAGGCGGCUUACUGGACUGUAACUGACGUUGAGGCUCGAAAGCGUGGGGAGCAAACAGGAUUAGAUACCCCAGUACA
rnacentral:rRNA from 1 species